rnacentral:ncRNA from 2 species
CAUUGAGCGAUGAGAAAGAAGAGUAAAUGCAGUUUCUUCUAUAUAGAGAGCCUGUGGUCGGUGGAAACAGGCAGAGAGCUGCAUUGAAUGGACUUUUGAGCUGAAACAGUGAAGUAACAGUAGCUGUUUCCGUGAUCUUCACGUUAUGAAGAAGAGUGGCCAAAUACGGCAACUAGGGUGGUACCGCGGAAAAACACAUCAUUCGUCCCUUUU